ensembl:lncRNA
UAUUUGGAUGUGAACUGCUUUCUUACUACUUUAUGUCCACUGUUUUUCCUUAUGCUUCAUUAUUUCCCAUUGCAUUUUUAUUCCACACCUUCCCUUUCCUAUAAUAUUAGCUUUCUCUGUCUUCCAGAGACUUGCCAUCCUUGCAUCGUGAAUUUGCAGUAUAAAGGGGAUUGGACUAAUAAGCACAUGGUUUCCACUCUCUAUAUUUUCUGGAAAGCAUCCAUUUACUUGGGUCAUUAUCAAGUAUCCAAAUUGAAAAGGCCAUUACUUUACUAUUGACGCUUCCCAAAUCUUAACAAGAGAAGAGAAUUUCAAAUUGGUGAAUGAAGUGUCUCCCUCCAUUGCCCUGACAAAGACUGUAAGUUCUAAUGCCAUUGGCUGGUUAAGUGUGAGAUGGAGUCUCACUCUCUCACUGUUCUUUGUCAUAUUACACAAGUGUUACCAAUAUUGCAAAUACUUUACAAUACUUUUCUGGCUUCUUUCCAUCUAUAGUAAGCAUUCUUCAUUCUUUAACAUUUUUAUUCACAUAAAUAUUAAUUCUGAAAUCUGCAAUCCUUUUUCAAUGUUUUCAGAAGGAUGUUACAUUUUAAGAAAAACUUAUCAACCCAUUCCACUAUUCCUGCCUAGAGAAUUUCAUGGAUGGAGGGUCCUGGUGGACCCGAGUCCAUGGGGUGGCAAAGAGUCCGACACAACUGAGCCACUAACACUUUGACUUUCACUUAUGUAUAAUAUAUAUUUCAAUUCAGAAUUUUUAUGUGAAUAGCAGGAAUACUGUUCUAGAAUUAAUCCAAGAUAUUUUUUCAUAAAGCACUAACAUAUUUAUUCAGUUUGUCAUCCUCAUUUUUCUAAUGGUAGUUUUUCAAUUAAAUUUUGCUUUACAGAUUAAAUGGAAUUUGGGAAUAUAUAUUGCUAAUAAUAUGAAGUAGACAUCAUGUGAUUACUGCUAUAGAUACAGUUUUUAACACAGGGGUACUUUUACUGUACACUUUCCAUUAUAUUUUAGAUAACUGUCUCAUGUAUGUGAGAAUCUUUGCCUUUUAUUGUGAAAAAGGAGGAGAGUCCAAUGCAAGGUGAAUGAUUUUCCUGUCUUAUACCAGGGGAAGUUCUACUCUAAAUUCUAUCAUUUUUUUCCCUUUUCCCAUCUUAAUUCCCUUUGCACAAAAGCAUGAUGGGAUAUAAAACACUGCUUCUCAUGAGUUAUAUGGGAUUUGGAACCUUUGAUUCCAGUUCUUAAAAAAAUGGGUAAACAAUGAAAAGGAUUCAAGUUAUUGUCCUCUUCUCUUCUUUACAUUGUACCUUAAUUUGUUUGAAUAGUUAUUUCUUCCUUUUAUUUUUCAGCUAAGGGUGAACAGGAUAAAGGCAAGUCCAUUAGUUUUUUACCCUCUUUAUCUACUCAUGUUUUAUCUGUUUCUUUUAUAUUUGUCUUUAACACUCAAUGUUCAACUUUCUCAACUCCAAUCUAUAUACCUAACUUUCCAUCAUAUUUUCUCAUUUUAUUAUUAUUUCAAAUGAAGUUUAUCCUCUUCAUGUGUUAUUAUAUGAUUUAUCCUGUCCUUCCUAUUUAUACAAAAAUUUUGUUUUUGCCAAGUACAUCAUACUAAUAAUUUACUUAUAAAAUUUUGCUAUCUUUAAAGUUUCUAAGAAAGUUUUAUCAAAUAGUUUCACUCAUUUGAUUCAGAAGCCCCUCCUCUCCCAUUUAAUAUUUCAUUUCCCUCCUUUUCAUUUUCCUUUGUGAAAGUAAACUUAACUGAGGCGUAGUUAAAAUCAAACUCCCAUAAAAUACAGUUGCAUAUUAAGCGGCUGACAAAGUGUUGUGAAUAGAGGCACCGAGGAACAUGACACUGAUACCCUGUAAGAGCAGUAGUUCAGGAUUCUGUAAUUCAGUGUUCAGUGAUUUUAUAAAGAGUGAAACUACCAAUAUAGGAGAUUUGGGUAUAUGUAUUUAGCAGCACUCACAUAACUAGUUAAAGAGAAAUAAUUAAUUAAUAAAAAAUAAAAUACUUUCAAAGGAAGUCAUAAAUGUUUUAUUAGGCAAUUACCAAAAGUCAUAUUUUAAAAGUUUUCUCAUUUAUUCUUAUUUCUUCAUUUGUUUAAUACUAUUUAUUUCUCAAAAGGAAACUCAAACACUGUAUGUGUGCCUGUGUGUAUAUUUUGGGAGGGAGGGUAGGUUGUGUGUUUACCUGAAUCCUGAUCAUUUAAAUUUACCUACAGUUUUUCAAUAAAUCUGAAUUUUCUUCAUGUUUCUUUCCAAUGAAAUUUGCAUUGACUUUCUUUUUAUUUUACAGAUAAACUUCAGGAAAAAAUUGAUGACCUUCAGAAAAAACUUGGUAAAUUUCUCAGACAGCCUUGAUAUCCCAAAAACACUCUAAAUUACCCUUUCUCAGCACUUUUAAUAUUCCCUAUCUUUUCAACCUUAGGUCAUCCUUUGGCUUACCUUUUCCUGAAUGUCUACUCUACCUUCCCAAAUUAUUUGUUUAUGAAAUCCACCAAUAUUAAGUUCUAUUCCUAUUACCCUAGACCUGAUUCUUUCUCAGUACUUCCUGUUUAAUUUCCUAUGUUUCUUUCCUAUAAGCCUUGUCAGUUUCACUAUGAAUUUUGUGAGAUGAGGAUGAGACUGGUAGGCAAAUGGUUUACAUUCUCCUUAUUUUAUGGUACAUUUUCAAUAACUUGAUAAUAACUUAGAAUGUAUGUCAUCUAUUCAAAGUUCAGGGGACCAUUAAUAUGCCUUUUUUUUUUUUUUUUUUUGCCUUUGCAUACUGUUCAUGAGGUUCUCAAGGCAAGAAUGCUGAAGUAGUUUGCAAUGCCAAAGAAUGUUUAAACUACUGCACAGUUGCACUCAUUUUGCAUGCUAGCGAGGUCAUGCUCAAAAUCCUCCAAGCUGGGCUUCAAUGGUACAUGAACCGAGAACUUCCAUGUACAAGUUGGAUUUAGAAAAGGCAAAGGAACCAGAGAUCAAAUUGCCAAUGUCCUCUGGAUCAUCGAAAAAGCAAGAGAAUUCUAAAAAAAAAAAAUCUACUUCUGUUUCAUUGAUUAUGCUAAAGUACUGUGUGGAUUGCAAGAAAUUGUGGAAAAUUCAUAAAGAGAUGGGAAUACCAGACCACCUUACCUGCCUCCUGAGAAAGCUAUAUGCAGAUCAAGAAGCAGCAGUUAGAACUGGACCUGGAACAAUGGACUGGUUCAAAAUUCAGAAAGGGGUACAUCAAGGCUGUAUAUUGUCACCCUGCUUAUUUAACAUCUAUGUAGAGUACAUCAUGCAAAAUGCCAGGCUGGAUGAAGCACAAGCUGUAAUCAAGAUUGCCAGGAGAAAUAUCAAUAACCUCACAUAUGCAGAUGACACCACCCUAAUGACAGAAAUCUAAGAGGAACUAAAGAGCCCCUUCAUGAAGGUGAAAGAGGAGACUGAAAAAGCUGGCUUAAAACUCAACAUUCAAAAAACUAAGAUCAUGGCAGCCAGUCCCAUCACUUCAUGGCAAAUAGAUAGAGAAAAAAUGGAAACAAUGAAAAACUUUAUUCUCUUGGGCUCCAAAAUCACUGUGCAUGGUGACUGAAGCCAUGAAAUGGCUGCUUCUUGGAAGAAAAUCUUUGACCACUCUGGACAGCAUAUUAAAAAGCAGAGAUAACAUAGGUUGUUCUAUUUAGAAUUCUAUUUAUAGUUAUAUAAUUUCCUUCCCUUUCAUUUGAUUUAAUUAAGAUGAGCUUCUUUCAAGAAUUUAUUGAAACACACAUAAAACAAGGUAAUAUAUUAAUUGUUUGAUGAAGACGAUGUAAACAGAAGCAUCCAGGAACAGAUUCUAUAUUUUCUGCUAGGAGAAGUGGCUCAAGGUUCUUGAUUGUUUGUGGCUAACAUACAACUGAGCUCCAGCAAAACUGAGAACUAACUAUAUAUUUUUAGUAGCAGUCAAGAAACUUAUUAGAGCAAGCAGACUGAAUAAUAGAAGCCUAAAUAAAGUCAGAAGGUAAACAAAAUUCUGAAAAUGCAACUAUUUGAACUAAUAUUUUUUAAAACCUCCUUCAUUUAGAAAAUUGACUGCAUUUCCCUUUUCUUUCUUUUUCUAAAAUAGAAUAUUCUCUGGUCGAAAGAGAACAGCUUUCUGCCACUAUUGUUGAGUUUAUGUUCACAAUGUGCAUGUAUUACUUCAAUGCAUCCAGAUACAGUUAACAUUACUUUUGGAUUCUUCAAAAUAUUUCAUUUUUCUCCAUGCUUGUUUUCCAUAGUAUUUAAGUGAAUCUGUCCAUUUUAUUUUUCAGGUGAACUUCAAAAAAAUCUUGGUAAAUUUCUAACUAUUCACUCUAAUAACUCUUCCAAUAACUGCUCCAUGUUGUCUUGAACAUCCCCUGAUUUUUAUAAUUGUGCCAUCUAUUGGCUCACUUUGUCCUGGAGGUCUAUCCAUCACAAACCCAUUUUUGGUUAUGAACCUCUUUCUUAUUUCAUUCUUUGCACUGUUGCUUCCCUGUGGUUCAUCAUUGCCUAUUACAUCUUUUGGUCCCUUUUCUUUCCUAUCACAUUGGCUUUGUCUGUCUUCCAGAGACUUGUCAAACUUGCAUCAUAAUUUUCUGAGAUGAAGGGAUUGGACUAACCAGCACAUGGUCCUGACUCUCUCUACAUUUUCUGAAAAGUGUCAGUUAAUUUAAAACCUUUACAAACCCAAGUUGAAGGGUCCAUUACAAUAUUCUCAAUACUUAUCCAGUCCUAAGAGAGAAGAUUCCCAAUUUGACAGUGAAGUUUCUCCCUUCAUUGCUCUGCCAAGAAUCAUAUAAAAUCAGAUGCCAUCUACUGGUUAAGUGUAAUAUUUAGUC